AUUGAACGCUGGCGGCAGGCCUAACACAUGCAAGUCGAGCGGAUGAAGGGAGCUUGCUCCUGGAUUCAGCGGCGGACGGGUGAGUAAUGCCUAGGAAUCUGCCCGGUAGUGGGGGAUAACGUCCGGAAACGGGCGCUAAUACCGCAUACGUCCUGAGGGAGAAAGUGGGGGAUCUUCGGACCUCACGCUAUCAGAUGAGCCUAGGCCGGAUUAGCUAGUUGGUGGGGUAAAGGCCUACCAAGGCGACGAUCCGUAACUGGUCUGAGAGGAUGAUCAGUCACACUGGAACUGAGACACGGUCCAGACUCCUACGGGAGGCAGCAGUGGGGAAUAUUGGACAAUGGGCGAAAGCCUGAUCCAGCCAUGCCGCGUGUGUGAAGAAGGUCUUCGGAUUGUAAAGCACUUUAAGUUGGGAGGAAGGGCAGUAAGUUAAUACCUUGCUGUUUUGACGUUACCAACAGAAUAAGCACCGGCUAACUUCGUG
rnacentral:rRNA from 1 species